rnacentral:rRNA from 1 species
UUACGAGGUCAGGACACUGUGAGGAUUGACAGAUUGAAAGCUCUUUCUUGAUUCAGUGGGUGGUGGUGCAUGGCCGUUCUUAGUUGGUGGAGUGAUUUGUCUGGUUAAUUCCGUUAACGAACGAGACCUUAACCUGCGAAAUAGUCACGCGAACCGGUCCGCAAGGGCUCAAAGUUCGCGGCUCGACUUCUUAGAGGGACUAUUCGCACCCGCCAGCGAAUGGAAGUUUGAGGCAAUAACAGGUCUGUGAUGCCCUUAGAUGUUCUCGGCCGCACGCGCGUUACACUGACGGAGUCAACGAGCGUUUUUCCUUGCCCGAUAGGGUUGGGUAACCUCCUGAAACUCCGUCGUGAUGGGGAUAGAUCAUUGCAAUUAUUGAUCUUGAACGAGGAAUUCCUAGUAGGCGCGAGUCAUCAACUCGCGCCGAUUACGUCCCUGCCCUUUGUACACACCGCCCGUCGCUCCUACCGAUUGAACGGUCCGGCGAGAACUCCGGAUGGUC